CAGCGAUUUUGCAACUAAGAUCUGUAUGUUUUGGUGCCUAUUAGCCUGUGUCAGGGCUCCUGCCUGUGCCUAAUAGCUAAGAAGGCCGUACGCACGUGCGCUACGUUAUGGUGUCGAGUGUACUUAACACAGGUUCUGCUCUUGUAAAUCCUUCUCGUGACCACGAAAAUAACCGCCAGUUGUUGGUACACUUCGUGAUACAUACACAUUCAGGUAGCCGCAUUGCACAAAAUGGCGGAUGAAUAACAGCACACCACCUUUUCGAAUAUUUCCCGCCGUUCACGAAAAUGAAUUAAGCGAGAGGAAUAAAAGAAGAGGCCGGUGCAAUUUUUCGCAGUUUUUGCCAAAGAAGAUUAGACGUAGGGGAUCGAAGAAGACAUCUGAUUUGAGUACUACGGUCACCACCUCGACUGGUCAAGGUGAUUUCGAAAAUCCUUCUCAUCAGGCGUUGCAACCUAGACCAAUUUUACAUGCUUUGCUGGAAGCCAAAUAUGUGAUUGUUGAAAGAGAACCCAGGGAUAACAUUUGGAUCUAUCAUUGCAAAUUUGUUGAAGGCACAAGGCAAACAGAUUAUUUUCAGUCACUGUCAUCAACAGUCACAGGAGAAAGUUUAACUGCAGCUAGUUCUGUUUAUGGGAAUUGCAUCCAUAUUGAAGCCACUGAAAAGUUGAUGGAAAGCUUUGAAAGGGAAAACAACGUCACCCCUUCACUUGCCAGAGACACAUAUUCUCAUGAUCACACUUACCAAGAGGAACAUCAUGACUUGUUGCCUUUGAAUGGGAAUAAUUUUACAAUUUUUGUAUGUGGAAAUAAACAGCAUGGAGUAGUUGGCCUCCAAGUUGCACUUAUCACUUGCUUUUUCUGUGAUCACCAGCGUCACAACUGUGGACAUGUAACAAAAGUAGCAGAAUCUGAGGAAAUAAUGGGACACAAAAUGCAUGAUUUUCUGGUCGAUUUUUUUGCUGAGAGAAAUUUUCAAGAGUCUACUGAAUCAGUUGCAGCAGCCACCACUCAUAAAGAGUGGAAAAUAAGAUCAGUAUCUUGUAAAAAAAAUACUAUUCCAUCUAUCAACAACACAAAAAAAAGUAUUCUCUCUGGAAGAUGUUCUUUGUGGCAAAAUGUCAACUACUGAUUUGGUGCUGCUUACUCCCAACUUGUCUCCCUCCUGCCCAAAGUGUUCAUCGCAGUGCAUUAGUCAGACUACACAAGCUUUGUGCUUUUUGAAAAAGCAGACAUGGCAAUGUGAAGGUGCACUCUAUUUACAUACCACGGUGUCUGGCAAGAGAUCAUGGCUGAUGCACAUGUAUUGGACUUCAAGAGGAUGUUAUUGUACUACCACUGGCGUUUUGCUUGCUGCAGUUUCCUGAACCUUCUUGACAUAAACUAUGAAGAAGGUUUUUGUUGUGCCAUCUGUGGCAAAGAUAACAGUCUGCACACUGUCAUUUGUGAUGCUAAAGCACUAUCCUUCAGACAAGAGCUUUGUACUUCUCUGAAGUCUACUUAUUCAUCACCGAGUCCAUCGACUGUACCAUGAGAAAC